GAUGAAGAACGCAGCGAAAUGCGAUAAGUAAUGUGAAUUGCAGAAUUCAGUGAAUCAUCGAGUCUUUGAACGCACAUUGCGCCCCCUGGUAUUCCGGGGGGCAUGCCUGUCCGAGCGUCAUUGCUGCCCUCAAGCCCGGCUUGUGUGUUGGGUCUCGUCCCCCUUCCCGGGGGGACGGGCCCGAAAGGCAGCGGCGGCACCGCGUCCGGUCCUCGAGCGUAUGGGGCUUUGUCACCCGCUCUGUAGGCCCGGCCGGCGCUUGCCGAUCAACCAAAACUUUUUUCCAGGUUGACCUCGGAUCAGGUAGGGAUACCCGCUGAACUUAAGCAUAUCAAUAACGGAGGA
rnacentral:misc_RNA from 1 species